UACGGAGGGGGCUAGCGUUGUUCGGAAUUACUGGGCGUAAAGCGCGCGUAGGCGGAUCUGCAAGUCGGGGGUGAAAUCCCGAGGCUCAACCUCGGAACUGCCUUCGAUACUGCGGGUCUCGAGUCCGGGAGAGGUGAGUGGAAUUCCUAGUGUAGAGGUGAAAUUCGUAGAUAUUAGGAAGAACACCAGUGGCGAAGGCGGCUCACUGGCCCGGUACUGACGCUGAGGCGCGAAAGCGUGGGGGAGCAAACAGGAUUAGAAAACCC
rnacentral:rRNA from 1 species